CUCCUACAAAGAAAAGUAUUCGUUUACGCAGGGUAAAUUUCAAAAGUGCAUAAACUGUUCGAUAUCAUAUACCAAAUAUCUAAGCGACAUAUUGCGAAACAAAUGUUUAUCGCAAGAACAAAAUUAGGCGGAAGAAAAAAAAAAAAAAAAAAAAAAUAAUCAGAAGAAAAACAAUAGGUCUUUCCACAGAAAAGUGGAAAGACCUAAUUAUUGAUCAACUUC
rnacentral:lncRNA from 1 species